rnacentral:lncRNA from 1 species
CUUAAGAUACCCUAUCAAAUUUUGCACCUUACAAUCUUGUUCAUCUGAACAAUUACAAACAACUGUAUUCUCUAAGCCUCAACAGACUUACAACCUUCAAGUUACCCGCUUAGACUUUACACUUUCUUCUCAAACUAAUACUUUAGUACCCCUAAAGAUAGAUGAGACUUUUCUUUACAAUGAUUUGAAGUUUGAAUGAAAUCAGAAGAAAAGAGGAAGAAGAAUGGAGGAGAAAGAUUAUCUUUGAAAAGAUAAGAGAGAGGCUUGAUUCAUACUCUUAGAGAUUUUAAUAAUCUACUGAGUUGAUUUGUGAAAUCAAGUUACUAAGAAGCUUUU